GACAGAGGGGGCAAGCGUUGCUCGGAAUCACUGGGCGUAAAGGGCGCGUAGGCGGGAUGGCAAGUCAGUCGUGAAAUCUCUCGGCUCAACCGAGAAACGUCGGCUGAUACUGCCGUUCUUGGGGGAUGCAGAGGAGACUGGAAUUCCCGGUGUAGCGGUGAAAUGCGUAGAUAUCUGGAGGAACACCCGUGGCGAAGGCGGCUCUCUGGUCCGAUACUGACGCUGAGGCGCGAAAGCUAGGGUAGCAAACAGG
rnacentral:rRNA from 1 species